CCAUGUUGGCCAGGCUGGUUUGAACUCCCGACCUCAGGUGAUCCGGACGCCUCAGCCUCCCAAAGUGUUGGGAUUACAGGUGUGAGCCACCUCACCCAGCCCAAGCACUGUUUUUGAGAUAAGCAAUAUUAAAAACACUUUCAGCUUCACCAGAUGCUGACUAACUGACCUCCAGCCAGUGUUCCACCAGCCAUAACUACGGCUUUGGUUGGACAAGAGACUGAUUUCAGUAACUUGCCUGAUGACCACCCACCAUGGACUGGUUCUGGCUGGUUUGCAGAGCUCGUGCAUUUGCGUGGAAAGAGCUUUUGCCAUAUAGGGCCUAAUCGUAAUAUAUUUAAAUAUUAAGUCUCCACCCCAAAGCGAGCAUGGGUUGUAUGUUACAUGCAUGUAUGUUCAAUAUGCAUGUGUCAGAACCACCUUCAUGAACAUUCAUAGCUCCUCAUGUAAGCUAUUGAAUGUGUAUGUUUCAUCAGUCCAUGGAGCAUGAAACUUCUACCGUAACCCCUCCUCCUUUGAAGUGCCUGUCUCUGGUCUUGGCUGGAGGCACGAUUCCCAGAGGAACUCUCCCUUUCCGAGGCUGGAGUGCAAUGGUGCGAUCAUAGCUUAUUGCAACCUUGAACUCCUGGACUCAAGUGAUCCUCCCACCUCGGCCUCCUAAGGUGGUGGGAUUACAGGCGUGAGUCACUGUGCCUGGGCUAUAACCAGUGUUAAAUCAUGUUGAGCCUAAAGCUGCCUCCUUACAGUUUUUAAAUUUGGCCUAAAGGUUUCUCUGUGCAUCGUGAACUGUAACCUAAACGGACUUGUAAACCGAAUGUAGCCAGUGCUUGUGCCAAUCACUGAGUUUUGGCUAAUCAAAGGUGGCCAACUGUUCAAACUGUGUUCAGAUAAGGCAAACACCAUCUGGCUGGUUUCUAGAUCUCACUUCUGUUUUCUGUACUUCAUUUUCCUUUUUCUGUCCAUAAUUCUUCCACCACUGCUGCACUGGAGUCUCUGAGCCCACUCUGGCAUGAGAGGCUGCCUGAUUCUUGAAUUGUUAUUUGCUCAGUUAAACUCUGUUAAACUUACCUGGACUAAAGUUUUCCUUUUAUCACUGAGCAUCCUGUAUUUUAUCUGUUAACCCUGGAUUGUUAUUUACAACUUCUUUCUUCCAUACCCAUUCUAUGGUUCUUUUAGGGAUCUUAAUGAAGUGACCCAAACUUCAUUCCUGAAGAGUCUGAGUCCUUGGUAAUUCUGCUUGUAUUGGAUCACUUGAGGCUUUCAUUAACACUAUCACUGAACCCAGCAAUCCUCAGCGACGUCUCAGGGGAUCCCCUGGGUACCACGGACUCACUGUCUCUGUUGUGUGGCAGCAACAGCCUCUCUGUGGACAGUCAGGAUCAGUCUUCCUCUUGGAGCUGUUGGUCCCCAGGCAAAAUGAUGAUGUGGGGGCAGCCUUUACCUCCAGUUCAAAAAAACCAUACAGUGUCCAUUCCUGGUAGCACUCUCCCUUGGACACUGCGGGCUCUAACCCUUAGAAGGAAUGGGAAGGCAAUAUUUUGUCAGAGGCUUUCAGGUAGGAGGAUAAUGGUAGCAGCAGAAGUCCCCAGUGUCACCUAGAGAAACAAUAUGUAAUGAGGAGAAUAGAUAAAAUUAUGCAACAGCAAGCCCUCAGGAUAACAUGGAGACAAGAAUGCUCAAACUUAAAAAGAACAAGAAAAACAAAUAACAUAGAAAUUGCCCAGCUGGGUGUGGUGGCUCAUGUCUGUAAUCCCAGCACUUUGGGAGGCUGAGGUGGACAGAUUCCUUGAGCCCAGAGUUCGAAACUAGCCUGGGCGACAUGGCGAAAACCUGUCUUUACAAGAAAUACAAAAAUUAGCUGGGUGUGGUGGCAUGGUGGUGUUCUAGCUACUUGGGAGUUUGACAUGGAAGGAUCAUUCGAGCCCAGGAGGUAUGGGCUAUAGUGAGCCUUGAUCACACUACUGCCCUUCGGCCUGGGUGUCAGAGACCUUGUCUCAAAAAGAAAGAAAGAGAGAAAGAGAAAGAAAAAGGAAAGGGAAGGAAGGAAGGAAGGAAGGAAAAACAAAUGACAGCUUAGGAUGUCUCCCUUCCACAUGCCCAUUCCAACCUCACAUGCCACAGGCUUUGUGUCGGGACAAGACUAGCUGAGGAAAACUGGGGCAAAGGUGAGGAGGACGUUGUAAUGGGGCUUAAGCUUGAUCUAAGACCUCACCAAAAAGACUAAGUACACUUUGAGCCUGAAAAUGUAAAAACAUGUCUGCAGUAGCAGGAGAUUUAAAAGU